GAUGAACGCUAGCGGCAGGCUUAACACAUGCAAGUCGAGGGGCAGCAUAAGGGUAGCAAUACCCUGGUGGCGACCGGCGCACGGGUGAGUAACGCGUAUGCAACCUACCUACAACAGGGGGAUAAUCCGGGGAAACCUGGUCUAAUACCCCGUAGCAUUAUUUGAUCGCAUGAUUAAAUAAUUAAAGCUUUUAGUGGUUGUAGAUGGGCAUGCGUGUCAUUAGGUAGUUGGUAAGGUAAAGGCUUACCAAGCCUACGAUGACUAGGGGAACUGAGAGGUUGAUCCCCCACACUGGUACUGAGACACGGACCAGACUCCUACCGGAGGCAGCAGUGAGGAAUAUUGGUCAAUGGGCGGAAGCCUGAACCAGCCAUGCCGCGUGCAGGAAGAAUGUCUUAUGGAUUGUAAACUGCUUUUGUACGGGAGCAAUAAGAGCUAUGCGUAGCUUGAUGAGAGUACUGUACGAAUAAGCAUCGGCUAACUCCGUGCCAGCAGCCGCCGUAAAAC
rnacentral:rRNA from 1 species